rnacentral:rRNA from 1 species
GAUGAACGCUGGCGGCGUGCUUAACACAUGCAAGUCGAACGAAGCACUUUAUUUGAUUUCCUUCGGGACUGUUUAUUUUGUGACUGAGUGGCGGACGGGUGAGUAACGUGUGGGUAACCUGCCUUUUACAGGGGGAUAACAGUUGGAAACGGCUGCUAAUACCGCAUAAGCGCCCAGCAUCGCAUGAUGCAGUGUGAAAAACUCCGGUGGUAUAAGAUGGACCCGCGUUGGAUUAGCUAGUUGGGGAGGUAACGGCCCACCAAGGCGACGAUCCAUAGCCGACAUGAGAGGGUGACCGGCGACAUUGGGACUGAGACACGGCCCAAACUCCUACGGGAGGCAGCAGUGGGGAAUAGUGCACAAUGGGCGAAAGCCUGAUGCAGCGACGCCGCGUGAGCGAAGAAGUAUUUCGGUAUGUAAAGCUCUAUCAGCAGGGAAGAUAAUGACGGUACCUGACUAAGAAGCACCGGCUAAAUACGUG